rnacentral:lncRNA from 1 species
UUCCCUUGAGUUGCUUCUUGUCAUGUGUUUGGUUUCAGCAACAAGAAAGGUUACUAAAACACGGGGCUAGAUUUCAGUGGACGAAUGGUUGCCAUUAUCACCAGGUAUGGGGGCACAAAAGCAUGAUUCCUUAAAGUACACAUUCCUAUUACUAUUCAGAAGAAGGCUUACUUGUUAAUGAAGAUCUGGGUUAGUUACCUAAACAAGUGGUGCAGCCCUUUGACUUCUUGUCCAGGUAUUUUAUCAUAGCAACAGAAAUUAACCCAGGACAGCAGGAUAUCAUUCAGUGCUCCUUCUGGGUUGGGUGUUUUCUGGUGAGUAUCUGCAUGAGAUAGCAAAAUUUAUGUGCUAUGCUUCUACUUUUUAGUGUGCCUA